UUUUCCUUUUCUUUUAGACUAAGAAAGGAAGUGUUCUUUUUUGUUUUUUCGUAACUUAUUUGUGAUAUAAUCUCACGGCCAAGAAGUUCGUGUCCUUAUAGAGACUCUUGCCAGUGAGCUUCCAUGAGAAGCAGUUCGUUUCUCUUCAGAGAAGAGAGAAUGGCUAAAUGCUUCUUGGGCCUGUGGACGGGACAAGGCUACGUCCAACGGUUAAUCAAUUUAGUAUUAUCUUAAAGUAGUUCGUUUUUUUUUUUUUAGUUUUUUUUAUAUAUUAGCAUAUAAAAAAUAAUAGAAAAAAAUUUAAAAAAAAUGAAAAAUACAGCUGGGCUACACAAACAAACGGUGCCGAAUUCAUCUAAGAUGGCAAGUUAAGAUGGAAACAUGAUUUAGUCUAAGAAAAUAGACACUUCUGGUUAGCGCCAUCAAAGUUCAUUCUGCCAUCAGGUCCAAAGACCAGCAAUCCGUCUGUGUUGAAGAAGCAGGCUAGAGCACUAGUCAAGAAGUGGCCAUCUGAGCUACUGAAUUUAAUAGAGAUCUAACACCAGGCGAAACAAUCAGCAAACCUCCUCCGGUGGGUCGCUGGCCGUGGCCAGCCAUAAGCCCUCCCCCGUCAACUGGAACGGCAGUGUUAGUUGGAGAUGCGUGGGACCCAAUGACUCCCAACCUGGGGCAAGGUGCUUCUUGUGCACUAGAGGAUGCAGUAGUUCUAGCACGAAAGCUUGGAGGAUGCUUUGAGGUCCUAUGGAAUCGAAAGAUGGCCUCGUGUCUUUCCAUAAAUCGUACGCGUCGAUCUUGUAGGAUCGCUUCUGCGGAUG